rnacentral:rRNA from 1 species
UACGUAGGGUGCGAGCGUUGUCCGGAAUUAUUGGGCGUAAAGAGCUCGUAGGCGGUGUGUCACGUCGGCCGUGAAAACCUGCAGCUUAACUGUGGGCGUGCGGUCGAUACGGGCAUCACUGGAGUUCGGCAGGGGAGACUGGAAUUCCUGGUGUAGCGGUGAAAUGCGCAGAUAUCAGGAGGAACACCGGUGGCGAAGGCGGGUCUCUGGGCCGAUACUGACGCUGAGGCGCGACAGCGUGGGGAGCAAACAGG